rnacentral:rRNA from 1 species
GGGCGAGGGUAGGGAGGUUGGUUAGGUGGUAUCGGGAGUUUAGUAAGAGGUUGCUCUUUGGGUGGCGAGUGGCGGACGGGUGAGGAAUGCAUCGGAAUCUACUCUGUCGUGGGGGAUAACGUAGGGAAACUUACGCUAAUACCGCAUACGACCUACGGGUGAAAGCCGGGGACCUUCGGACCUGGCGCGAAUGAAUGAGCCGAUGCCCGAUUAGCUAGUUGGCGGGGUAAGAGCCCACCAAGGCGACGAUCCGUAGCUGGUCUGAGAGGAUGAUCAGCCACACUGGAACUGAGACACGGUCCAGACUCCUACGGGAGGCAGCAGUGGGGAAUAUUGGACAAUGGGCGCAAGCCUGAUCCAGCCAUACCGCGUGGGUGAAGAAGGCCUUCGGGUUGUAAAGCCCUUUUGUUGGGAAAGAAAUCCAUCUGGUUAAUACCCGGUUGUUCUGACGGUACCCAAAGAAUAAGCACCGGCUAACUUCGUGCCAUCAGCCUCGGUAAUACGAAGGGUGCAAGCGUUACUCGGAAUUACUGGGCGUAAAGCGUUCGUAGGUGGUUGGGGAAGUCAUUCGUUAAAGUCCUGUUCGCAUCCGCGUAACUACGGUGUAGACACAAUGACUAGAGUAUGUGUUAGGGUUGAGGGAUUCGCUGGUUUACAAUUGUAUGUGUCGAUUUAUUUAGGAUGGUAUGUGGCGUUUGUUUCUAUGUUGAUUUCGCUUGGCUCUGUGGAACAUUACGUUGUUUGUGUGAGAGUAUAAUUUUUUGAGUUGAAUGGGUGUUUGGGUUUGUACAGAGUUUCCGGGGGGGGGGGGGUUUUUUUGUUU